rnacentral:rRNA from 1 species
CCUACGGGUGGCAGCAGUGAGGAAUAUUGGUCAAUGGGCGCGAGCCUGAACCAGCCAAGUAGCGUGAAGGAUGACUGCCCUACGGGUUGUCAACUUCUUUUAUAAAGUAAUAAAAUGAGGCACGUGUGGCUUUUUGAAUGUACUUUAUGAAUAAGGAUCGGCUAACUCCGUGCCAGCAGCCGCGGUAAUACGGAGGAUCAGAGCGUUAUCCGGAUUUAUUGGGUUUAAAGGGAGCUUAGAUGGGUUGUUAAAUCAGUUGUGAAAGUUUGCGGCUCAACCGUAAAAUUGCAAUUGAUACGGGCAGCUUUUAGUACAGUUGAGGUAAGCGGAAUUCGUGGUGGAGCCGUGAAAAGCUUAGGUA